AGAAGAGAAAGAAGAAGAUGCUAUGGCUGGAGAGUAUCAGGGUUAUAAAUUAAUCGAAUCGAUGAUUUACCAGAUUGUUCCAGUGGUAUAUUGACUGAAAACAUAGUCUCUAGUAUGUUGACUGAAAACUAUUGAUGUAUUUCUCAGGUCUGCUGAUAGAUUUGACCAAGAGAGCAUAGUUGGACCCCAAGUUCACUGGUUGGGAUUGAAACUCUGAAUGAAAAUGCAAGUCCAUUUCUUGGAUUCGUUUCAAGCUUCGUUAAUCUGUUAACUAUUUCUUUCUUUUUCCUCGUAUAUAUAUAUCUACUUUUUUGUGUUGCAGCUGGUGAAUUUGGGGUCACUAGCUCAAGCUUGGGAGGGAAUCGAAGGGGGCUGCAGGCAGCAGAUGAAUCUAUAGGGUGGGGAAACUUCGGUGAAAUAAUAGAGAAUACAGGACCUGGAUUCGGAGACACUCCAGACUGUUGAGAAGAUGAUGUUUGGCCAGAGACAGUUGCAGAUGGGGCAUCCUAGUUGCAAUGGACUUUCUUUUUCCUGCAUAUUUUUUUUUAACUGAUGCUAAAGUUGUCUUUAUGUCUAUACUGAAUGGUUCAAAUAUUUGAAGGCAGUCAAAUUGUAACGAAUCUUAGCUAGGACCAACUUGUACAGAUACUAGUAAAUUGAAAUGAUACAAUAUUUUACACAGAUAUGCGGUUCUCCUACAUAAUCUUAUGCGCUUGGAAGAUAGCUGUUGAUUGCAGAACUGAACAAGUGCUUCAUGGAUACCAGAAUCCAGUAUUUCUUCAUAAUUUGCUUGCUUUAUUCCCACUUUGUAAUAUCCAAAGGGCUCCCAAGUCCCACGUCGCAUUUGCACAUAUAUAGUUUUGAGGUUCUCAAGAUACUUUCGAGUUUGGAAUGAUGUUUGAACUCUUGGAAUGAUGUUUUGCACAGUGUAAACAAAUCAACCAAUGAUGAAGAUACUAAUGCAUAACAAAGUCCUAUACUUGAAGUUUUUUUUGAAGAGGAAAUGUAGUGUACGUGAACAAAUCUCAC
rnacentral:lncRNA from 1 species